GACGAACGCUGGCGGCGUGCCUAACACAUGCAAGUCGAACGGAAAGGUCCUGCUUUUGUGCGGUGCUCGAGUGGCGAAGGGGUGAGUAACACGUGAGUAACCUGUCCCUGACUUUGGGAUAACUUCAGGAAACAGGGGGUCAUACCGCAUAGGAGCUCUUGCUGCAUGUUGGGCGUUGGAAAGAUUCGGCUGUUGGGGAUGGACUCGCGGCUUAUCCGCUUGUUGGUGGGGUAGUGGCUUACCAAGGCUUUGACGGGUAGCCGGCCUGGGAGGGGGACCGGCCACAUUGCGACUGAGAUACGGACCAGACUCGUACGGGAGGCAGCAGUGGGGAAUAUUGCACAGUGGGCGGAAGCCUGAUGUAGCAACGCCGCGUGCGGGAUGACGGGCUUCGGGUUGUAAACCACUGUCGCAUGUGACGAAGCGUGAGUGACGGUAACGGGUAAAGAAGCACCGGCUAACUACGUG
rnacentral:rRNA from 1 species